UCCGUGUGACGGCUCAACAAAGCA
rnacentral:siRNA from 1 species